UUAUUGGGUAAGGAUUAGAUAAUCUGCAUCCUGAGGUUUAUAACAAUAUUUUAGCUGUCUUUAACCUUAGAAUGCAGAUUAUCCUUUCCUUAUUGCCAAUGC
rnacentral:pre_miRNA from 1 species